rnacentral:rRNA from 1 species
UACCAGCACCCCGAGUGGUCGGGACGUUUUAUUGGGCCUAAAGCAUCCGUAGCCGGUUCUACAAGUCUUCCGUUAAAUCCAACUGCUUAACAGGUGGGCUGCGGAAGAUACUAUAGAGCUAGGAGGCGGGAGAGGCAAGCGGUACUCGAUGGGUAGGGGUAAAAUCCGUUGAUCCAUUGAAGACCACCAGUGGCGAAGGCGGCUUGCCAGAACGCGCUCGACGGUGAGGGAUGAAAGCUGGGGGAG